CGUGCAUAAACAUGCAAGUCGAGCGAUGAAACCAAGCAUUGUGGUGUGGAGUAGUGACCAGCGGACGGGUGACUAAUACGUGGAUUGCCUAUCUAUCUGACUGGGACAAGUUCAGCAGACCCGAACUAAUACCGGAUACUAUCUUGAACCGCAUGGUUCAAUAGUGAAAGACGGUUUUGCUGUCACUUAUAGAUGGAUCCGCGCCGCAUUAGCUAGUUGGUAAGGUAACGGCUUACCAAGGCAACGAUGCGUAGCCGACCUGAGAGGGUGAUCGGCCACACUGGAACUGAGACACGGUCCAGACUCCUACGGGAGGCAGCAGUAGGGAAUCUUCCGCAAUGGGCGAAAGCCUGACGGAGCAACGCCGCGUGAGUGAUGAAGGUCUUCGGAUCGUAAAACUCUGUUAUUAGGGAAGAACAAAUGUGUAAGUAAUUAUGCACGUCUUGACGGUACCUAAUCAGAAAGCCCGGCUAACUACGUGCCGUCAGCCGCGGUAAUACGUCCGUGGCAAGC
rnacentral:rRNA from 1 species